rnacentral:rRNA from 1 species
GCGGAUUAGUAUAUGCUUGUCUACUGAGGAGAUGCUGCUGAUGCUUAUAUGCUUGUCUCCGAUUUGAUCCUGCUUACUACUUGUAUAACCGUGUCAAUUCUAGAGCUAAUACAUGCUAAAAACCUCUACUUCCCAAGGGGGGUAUUUAUUAGAUAAAAAACCAAUGCCCUUCGGGGCUCCUUGGGGAUUCAUGAUAACUUAACGAAUCGCAUGGCCUUGCGCCGGCGAUGGUUCAUUCAAAUUUCUGCCCUAUCAACUUUCGAUGGUAGGAUAGUGGCCUACCAUGGUAGCAACGGGUAACGGGGAAUUAGGGUUCUAUUCCGGAGAGGGAGCCUGAGAAACGGCUACCACAUCCAAGGAAGGCAGCAGGCGCGCAAAUUACCCAAUCCCGACACGGGGAGGUAGUGACAAUAAAUACUGAUACAGGGCUCUUUCGAGUCUUGUAAUUGGAAUGAGUACAAUUUAAAUACCUUAACGAGGAACAAUUGGAGGGCAAGUCUGGUGCCAGCAGCCGCGGUAAUUCCAGCUCCAAUAGCGUAUAUUAAAGUUGUUGCAGUUAAAAAGCUCGUAGUUGAACCUUGGGCCUGGCUGGCCGGUCCGCCUCACCGCGUGUACUGGUCCGGCCGGGCCUUUCCUUCUGGGGAUCCGCAUGCCCUUCACUGGGUGUGUCGGGGAACCAGGACUUUUACUUUGAAAAAAUUAGAGUGUUCAAAGCAGGCCUUUGCUCGAUACAUUAGCAUGGAAUAAUAGAAUAGGACGUGCGGUCCUAUUUUGUUGGUUCUAGGACCGCCGUAUGAUUAUAGGGAAGUCGGGGGCAUCAGAUUCAUUGUAGAGGGAAAUCUUGGAUUAUUGAGACUACUCUGCAAAGCUUUGCCAGGUGUUUCUUAAUCGUGACGAAGUAGGGAUCGAGACAUCAAUCCGCCUAUCUAACGUAAUAUGCGAUAGGACGGCGAGUAUAUUUGCUCCUCGGACUACAGAACAAGCUUGGUUUGGGGAUUGGCCAGGUAACUAAAAUGCGAGGCCCCAGGGGACUGGGUAUUACCACGGACUCCGCAC